CAAGUUUAAAUCAUAACAAAUUAAUUUACAUAUAGCACCAUGAAUUAAAACAUCCAACUUUAAUUUUGGAAACUAAAACUGACUUAGUACCUAUUUUACAUUGGAUAAGCAAGUAUUGCAGUAAAUUUAAAUAAGCAAUGUAAAUAUGUUUAUGGGAAAUAAGAAAGGACAACUUAUUAAUUCACCUUUAGUCCUUUGAAAUUGUUAUACAGGCACUGAUUUGUGGCAUUUGUGUUGAAAUGGCCUUGUGUAAAUGUAAAUGCAGUCUUUUGCUGUCACCUGCUGGACAACAUUGGCAAACAUUCAACACCCUUGAAAGCAAGAAGAUUCAUGUCAAGAGGUUUAUCCUAAUCUGAGAUGUUGCUAGGUGCUGCCAUCAGCCAUUCACAGUUGGCCUAACACUGGCGAGUCUGAGGGUUGGCACCCGCCCACCCUCUUGUGUCUAGCACCCCUGCUGGGAUCUGCGCUGAACCCAGAUGAACCGGCGGGGAUUUAGAAAACAAAUAGACCUGCGCAUUUGUCCCCUCUGAAACACAGAUGUCAAGCUGCUGCCGUGACAGUGAUGGUGACACGGUGGAAAAGACGUGGCAAUCAUUUAGUUGAUGUUCUGACAGCCUCCUUUGACUGUCAGUGUUGAAAUCUUGCUGUGCAACCAAAAACAUCUUGUCACGACAGGAGGUGUCGGAACCUAUUGCCAUGGAAACAGUGCUCAAAAGUUUGGAGCGUCGACCCCCAUUGUGACUACAUCCAAUCAGAUUUUAGGAAAAGCUUUCAGCGUUGCUUUACUUUACUCAGAAGUGCAGUGUGGGUACAUCUGGGUGGACCUGAUUCUGUGUCUGGGUGUGUGAGUGCGUGAAUGUUCAGUGCCGGUUGGUGGAUUGUGUGUGUGUGUGUGUGUUGGUGGUGUUUGUGAGGAUUGGGAGCCAGAAAGUGACUCAUCACGCCACCCCAGGGGUCUGAGAUCCGACUUAGCUCCGUAGUCUUAUAUCCACAUCUUCGCCUUUCUCACAAACUGAAGCGCUGUAGCACCCGAAGUCCUCUUGAGCAAAGUGAUGAGUCACACCUUACACUUCAGCCGCCCUUCUCCACCACCCCUCGCCCCUACCCCACACCCACCCCGAAGAUGGAGGGUUGGGGUACAGCCCAGUUCCAGUUUCUUUGAUGCUUGACACUUCAAAGUCCUCGGCAUCAAAGCCGGGGACUUGGGCUCAGGCCCGGUAGCGGCCCGUCAUCCUGCCUUACACACACAAGAGGGAGAGACAGGAUAGAGCCGUCUUCCCUUUAGGUUCAUCUGACUUUAACAAGGUUAGCUUUCUUACAGGGGAGACAACAAGACACUGUGGGUAAAAUUACAAUUAUGCUGAAAGAUUUUUCUUUCGGUAGAAUAAUAAAACAUGAAGUUGUACAAAAUUACAAAAACAUUUAAUAAAGAUAGAAAAUGAAAAUAUGUUACAAA